GAUAGCGUUGCCGAGCGGGCUAAGGCGCUGGCUCCGGUCUCUUCGGAGGCGUGGGUUCGAAUCCCACCGCUGUCA